CCCGAUACCUGUGGUGUUACCUGCACAUUCAGAUCCUCAUCGCCUGGUGUUGCGCACGGCUUGAGGUGUGGACCCGUUUCCACUCUGUCCCACGGCUCUCGCUGACUGCUCCGGGCUCCUUCCGCCUGCGCCCGUCUGGGACACCGGUCGCAUGAACACGAGAACCUUGAUGUCUGCGCCCUUUCCCGUGAGUCUGAACGGACCUGUACAGAUGCCUUGACCAGCAGAGCCUCAAGGAAGUGGCGCUCUGUGGUUCUGGAGGCUGGAUCAUCGCAAGUCCUGCACCCUGCCUGGGGUGCUCGCCCUGGGAGCCCAGCCCCUGGCCACGAAGAGGCCCAGAUCAGCCCAGGUGAGGAGACCAUGGAGUGGGCACUCCUGUGCACAGCCUGGUUGGAGCCCCCGUCUGCAGCCAGCAUGCGUUACCUCACAUGGUGUGAGGACACCACAGGUGUUUCCUGCCCAGCUGUCAGUGUCCCCAGCCUUGAGUUCCCACUGGGGAGCAGAGACAAACCAUCCAAAUGGCGCCUCCCAAACUCCCAGCCUACAGAAACCUUGAGUAUAACGAAAAGUGCCGAGGAACAGAUGGGAGUGUGACUAAUGCUGCACAAAUGACCUGCUGUUUCCCCUCCCCUGAGAACAGUGGCCUUCAAGGAGCAGACGUACUGUGACAGGGACAGUUGAGCGGGGAGCUGCCCUGGGAGGGGGUGCCGUCCAGGCUGCUGCCCUGCAGGGGGCUGGCACAGAUGCACUGCCCACCCCAAUCCAGAUCCUUCCCACCCACCUGCAAGACAACUUGGGCCCCGUAAAGGCCAGUGCAGCUGACAGUUUCAGGACGCCUUCCAGGCUUAACACAGCCCCUUCCUCUCUUGCCGAGUUCCCAGAAAGCCAACCUUUGUGCGCUGUAAGUAUGUAUG